rnacentral:rRNA from 1 species
AUGGCGCCUUCACCAAGUAGCAGUGCAACUGUGUUAGCCGUGAUGGCUGUCCUUGUGCUGCUGGGGAUGGGAUGCCGGGCCGCGGGCAUGACGGCAUGCAAUGAUUGCAAGCUGCAGUGCAACUCCACGUGCAGCGCCGCCAACUUUGCCGGUGCCGGGCCAUGCGGCGCCGACUGCAGCCCGACGCCGGGGUGCUCGGGCUGCCUCUCCUACUACCAAGGCAAGUGCAUGUCGGGAUGCUUGAGGGCGUGCAAAGCCCAAACACCGGAUGCAUAUGACUGCGAAACCACCUGCAAAGGCAAUUGCAGCAACCAAAGCAGCUUAUGCGGCGCUGUCUGCGGCGAGUCGAGGACGUGCACCGCCUGCAAGGACAACUACUUCCGUGGGUGCACAUCCUGCUGCACCGCCUACUGCAAGUGCCACUGCGUCUAG